rnacentral:rRNA from 1 species
UUAGUGAAAUCGAGUAGGACGGGACACGUGAUAUCCUGUUUGAACAUGGGGGGACCAUCCUCCAAGGCUAAAUACUCCUGACUGACCGAUAGUGAACCAGUACCGUGAGGGAAAGGCGAAAAGAACCCCUGUGAGGGGAGUGAAAUAGAACCUGAAACCGUGUACGUACAAGCAGUAGGAGCCCACUUGUUGGGUGACUGCGUACCUUUUGUAUAAUGGGUCAGCGACUUAAUUUUAGUAGCAAGGUUAACCGUUUAGGGGAGCCGUAGGGAAACCGAGUCUUAACUGGGCGUCAUAGUUGCUAGGAUUAGACCCGAAACCGAGUGAUCUAGCCAUGGGCAGGUUGAAGGUGAGGUAACACUUACUGGAGGACCGAACCGACUAAUGUUGAAAAAUUAGCGGAUGACUUGUGGCUAGGGGUGAAAGGCCAAUCAAACUCGGAGAUAGCUGGUUCUCCCCGAAAGCUAUUUAGGUAGCGCCUCGGACGAAUACUACUGGGGGUAGAGCACUGUUAAGGCUAGGGGGUCAUCCCGACUUACCAACCCUUUGCAAACUCCGAAUACCAGUAAGUACUAUCCGGGAGACACACGGCGGGUGCUAACGUCCGUCGUGAAGAGGGAAACAACCCAGACCGCCAGCUAAGGUCCCAAAGUUAUAGCUAAGUGGGAAACGAUGUGGGAAGGCUCAGACAGCCAGGAUGUUGGCUUAGAAGCAGCCAUCAUUUAAAGAAAGCGUAAUAGCUCACUGGUCGAGUCGGCCUGCGCGGAAGAUUUAACGGGGCUAAGCUAUACACCGAAGCUGCGGCAAUGUGAAUU